CAGCCGCCACGGGAAUACGGAGGGUGCAAGCGUUAAUUGGAAUUACUGGGCGUAAAGCGCACGCAGGCGGUCUGACAAGUCAGAUGUGAAAUCCCCGGGCUUAACCUGGGAACUGCAUUUGAAACUGUCAGGCUGGAGUCUUGUAGAGGGGGGUGGAAUUCCAGGUGUAGCGGUGAAAUGCGUAGAGAUCUGGAGGAAUACCGGUGGCGAAGGCGGCCCCCUGGACAAAGACUGACGCUCAGGUGCGAAAGCGUGGGGAGCAAACAGGAUUAGAUACCCGCGUAGUCCCUGUCUCUUAUAC
rnacentral:rRNA from 1 species